ACGGAGGGGGCUAGCGUUGUUCGGAAUUACUGGGCGUAAAGCGCACGUAGGCGGCUUUGUAAGUUAGAGGUGAAAGCCCGGAGCUCAACUCCGGAACUGCCUUUAAGACUGCAUCGCUUGAACGUCGGAGAGGUAAGUGGAAUUCCGAGUGUAGAGGUGAAAUUCGUAGAUAUCUGAAGGAACAUCAGUGGCGAAAGCGACUUCCUGGACCAAUACUGACGCUCAUGUGCGAAAGCGUGGGGAGCAAACAGGA
rnacentral:rRNA from 1 species